CAGGAAUAUUACAUGAAAUCUUUGAUGUUGCUCGUCUUGCACAAGCAGGUCAAGGGUCAUGCAUUCCAUUCCCAGGAAUAUUAGGCUACAGUAAAUCUUUGAUGUGCCGUCGUCCUCAUGUUGCUCAUCUUGCACCAACAGGUCAAAGGUCAUGUAUCGAUUCAGCUCAUCCGACACGAGCAGGUCAAAGGUCACCCGUCAGAUUCCCAGAAAUAUCACACAGUAUCUGACGCUCG